rnacentral:rRNA from 1 species
GACAGAGGGGGCAAGCGUUGCUCGGAAUCACUGGGCGUAAAGGGCGCGUAGGCGGGAUGGCAAGUCGGUCGUGAAAUCUCUCGGCUCAACCGAGAAACGUCGGCCGAUACUGCCGUUCUUGAGGGAUGCAGAGGAGACUGGAAUUCCCGGUGUAGCGGUGAAAUGUGUAGAGAUCGGGAGGAACACCGGUGGCGAAGGCGGGUCUCUGGACAGUUCCUGACACUGAGACACGAAGGCCAGGGGAGCAAACGGG